CAGAUUAUUUGUUAACUGUUCAACCUGAAAAUACAGUAAACAAAGUGUAAUUUACAUUUCCUAGAAUCAAACUUGGGACCUUGCGCUUGAGAGGCAGGCAAUGGAACCACUGAGCUAAAUCCUCGGCUAAAGAUUUCAUUUUGAGGACAGCUAUUUGCAAAGUUUUUUUCAAUCUACAUAUUUCACCAGGGCAGAAUGAAGAUGCGGAUAGGUGGUGAGAAGAUCUGGGCACUCUAUGAAAAAUACCGUUGCAUAAUUCAUUGGCCACAAAUGAACUCCCUACUUGUAAGCGAGUAGUCAACAACUGCAUGACCAUCUGUAGAGGUGGCACUGUCCAUUCAUAACCACUCUCUCCUCAUGUGACGAGUGUGAAGAAGAAGGGGCAAAGGAGUCACUUUUCACUGUUUCACUGACUCUUGGUGUUUUCAUUGUAUGUUAAAUGCCUGACUUCAUUUUUACAACCAAAAUAAAAACAGUAAUUUUGGAAGGUAAUUGUAUGUUCCUGGUAGCAGAUAUUAGCAACUUCCAACAAGAUCUCUAGGGAUAAUUCACAGUGCUGAACAAUGCUUUAGAAAAACAUUUAUUUGCCUGCUGAUUAGAACAUCAAAGGAUCACUGUGAAUUAUGUUAAUAUAACAGUUUAAAGAUCUAAGUAUGGAUGUAGUCUCAGCACUCUGUGAAUGAUUUUAUCCUAGUCCAUCAUUGGCAAUAAUUGUACAUGUUGCUGUGGGAACCUGCAAUUCUUCUGCUGCAAACUUUAAGACUGUUGUGAAAGUUGUACUUUCAGGAAUACUGAAUACUUUGUAUGGCGGCUAUAGGUGCGACGCCAGUGUGCUCUUUUUUCUUUUUUUAAAAAAUUCUUUUAUUGGUACAUUUUAGGUAUACAACACAUUUAUAUUUCUUACUGGGAACUUGUA